AGGUUGAUAAAUUUGAAUCGUUGGCAAAGUUUAGCUCAUUAUUCAAGUUUAAAACAAAACAAACCAACAAACAUUGAGUACACGAAUACGGCUUUAGGUUUUGUUUUUUUUUUAGAUUAAACGCUCCACAUCUAAAAUGUCGUCUGCGUUUGAACUAGGUUGUCUGUAGAAAAGAAAAACUUAUAACACACGUAUUUUAAAUAAUUGCAUUUGCUAACUGUCUCUCUUAUUGAAAUCUGCCCGACGCAUGAAUCAGUUUACAGACUGCAAGCUGGUUGUAACACACUCUUUAAACUGAAUGCUUUACAGCAGUAUUCUUCUAAGCCAAUGUUUCAUUAUCUACUGAACUUCUUUAUUUUUGAACGAGGGCCCUUCAGGGCCACGUUCAUAGUAGGCACAUCAGGAUCGUUACUACAAAUGAUUACACGGUGAAGCGGUCGAAAUAAUGCGCUCAUUGAAUGAUUGAAUACACAUGACAUCUUUAAACUUCAUCAAAUCUGAAUUGAUGUAUAGUAAUGUACACUUGAACUCGUUCAUUUUGCAUAUCCCUGAAAAUACAGCUUGAAAAAUCACAAAAUGACGACAAUAUAUUUAUACGCAACCGCUCUAAAACGGCGAAAAACUAAAUGUAUUGUUACAGGUGUGAGUCGGUAUAACAAAUAGUUACCAUAAUUGAUUAAUCGAUUCCAAACAAUUCUAAAAUUUCCUUAAAAAUGAAAGGAUAUUUAAACGCUAUUUUACUGAUCAAUAAACAAAUGAACAAAGUGAAUGCUUUUUUGAAACCGUAUAUCGAUAAAGUAUAUUAUACAGAUUACUCCGCUUGUAUUUAGCAUAGAUUCUAGUCAUUUCACUUUUCGAUCGUCGCCAUUUUGUAAGCGCCCUGCCUAAGAGUGUCUCAUGGACUUCAGCUGGAAUAAAUGUGUAUUGUAAGUAUUUUAUAAUCAGAUUGCUACACAUGAACGGCUCUAUGUGUGCGUGGCAUGACAGUUAUUGAAAUUGCUUCAUUAUGUACACUGUAUAUUUACCUGUUUAUGUGCGUGACCUACAUUAAUUGAGAGGCCUAAAUCAUGAACCUGCGUGUUUAUUCUAUUAUUAAAUUUGUUUAGAUUAGGAUGUGAAUUUGUGUAGUUCAUUUAGCUAAUUUUGAUGACGUAUAUCAUGCUUUUCGUUAAUAUAUGCAUUCGUGCCGUUCGUGGCUCACACAGUUUCGUGACCUACUACGUAGUUGUAAGAAUCUACUGUAGUGAUGCCAAGUCUAUUGUAGUAAUCUCCCCUUCUGAAUCUCAUGAAUAUUAAUUUUCCACGGAAGGCGACCACAUGCUGGUACCGGUUUUAUACCCUUUUUAAAAUAUAUAUCAACAUUUGCGGAGAACCAUGUGGCUAUUUAUAGUUAAAAUUAGAUGAUGAAAUAUUCUGGGAUCCAGUCAGAGUUCACUGAAAACUAACUGAAAACGUGGUUUUUCUAAAAGAAAAACGAAAGUGAAAAUUUGAUUAAACGUUUUUUUCAUGUUUUAAGGCAAGUACAAAGGAUUAUUUGGUUUGUUUUUAAGCAUGGGAGGGGCCUCUCAUAGUUUUUUAUCACUUUUGAUACGAAAACAACUGGACUAUGAACGUUCUUAGACCAUUUAUAGACUUAGCAAAAAUGUAAACAAAAAUCCAAAAUGGCUGCCGCGAAGUGAAACUACAGUUUUCACUAAGUCAGAUGUUUGAUGAUUAAUGCAUGAAACUGUUGCUGACAGCUUCAAACUGCAAGUACACCUUGUGUAAAUAAGUGUAAACAUUAAGAAUGAAUAAAUUUUAUGUCUAUUCUUUAAAUAUUUGUAAAAAAAAACACCAUGUUUUUUCACAAAGUUUGUGUUCGUCCCCAGUUUCGUACCGUUUCGUUCUCAAAUAUGUUUACAGUUUGUAAUAAAGAAGUGUUUAUAUAAAAUAAAGCCCAGAAAAAAUGCCAGAUUUAGGUUACAUCUGUAGUUUUCAGACUGAAACGUGAUAUUUUGUUUAUCAUCAAGUGUUGGCUUCAUCGCACCUGUCAUGAGCAGCUUUUGGUCGUGGAGCAACACUUAAAAGUUGAACCCAUCAAUUUAAACUGGCAUGCCAGAGAUGGGUUAAUUGAGUAUGUUGUAUAGGCUAUAAGGGCGUCAAUAAUUGUAUGUUUGGGUAGACCUUGUUGUUGAUUUAUUUAUUUUCCUUUCUUAUUAUUUUAAACAGACCCGGGAGGAACUGUAAAGAACCCGCCGAGCUGCCCACCCGGCCGAGCUGUACUUGGUGUAUGCCAACAUGCCGACAUGAUGUAAUUUGUUAGUACUUCAAGAUCAUAUAAUGGAAAAUUGUAUCCAAACUGAAGUAUAAACCAGCCUGGUUGCUGUAGCCACAGGGGAAUCUUCAAGGACAAGAACCAGUGCUGGUAAAAAUGUGGUCUCAUGUGGUUUUCCAUACCGGCUCUCAGCAAGGAUUUAAGAGAAAGGAAUACCGUCUCCAAAUCAUGAUGUGCUAAUAAGCUCCAGUUAGCUGCGCCUUUUUUCUCCCGGCAGUAGUCCUGCAAUCUGAAUCCAGGAGAUACAGCUCUGAAUCCAAUAUUUCAGAAGAAUGAAGAUAAAACUGAAGCCUUCAGGAAGUCAACGCCACCAUGAUAUUGAUUUACUCAGCUCUGAUGUACUCAGCUGUGAUGUAACAUGCCUUCAAGCCACUAUCCGAAGAACAUUCAGACGUUCUAAAUGGACCAUUGCCCUGUUGCCAUGGAAAUCAUUAUGAGGAGGAGUACACAAGCUUUAACUUGUUUUUAAUACGAGAUGUACCACAUACUGACCAUAAACUUUUCGGAUGCUCUGUUUAUUUCAUCUGCCAAUUUCGAUGUAUAGUUUACUGAAUAAUGACAAACAAUCUUUAUUAACGAUGCUCAGCUCUUACUCAUAAGCAUCUCUUACUCAUCCGUAUUCCACAACUAAACAUGCUUGCAAUUACACUGUGCCAUCUAUCAUAAUAUAGCAAUGCUGCAAUGACCACAAUUUUUGUACCAGUUGUUGCUUUAUACUGAAACUUUUAUUGAAAAUGGUGCAUAAACACUGAUAACACAUAAAUGUUUCAUUCAUACAUUUGUACAUGUUCUUUCAGUGUUUAUGUUGAUAAUGUUGAUACAUUUUUCAUGUGCAUUUACACAUGUGUUUAUUGCCAACCACAUCAAAACAUGCAUAGUUUGCUCACAUACAUAUUUCCAACACAGAUAUUUACUGAAUGUAUUACUACUUUACGUUGAUUUUGAUAUUUAAAUAAAACAUUGUACUACUCCUACAAAACACUUUUCAUUUGCUAUGUUGUUUGUUUCCAUGUUCUGUCUGCAUGCAGAUGGUAUUUUCAUAUCAAUUUUUAGCUAAACUAUUCGUAGAAUAUGGAGAGCUAUACUACUCACCCAAGCGUCGGCGUCAACGUCACACAUUGGUUAAGGUUUUGCUUGCAAGCACACAUACGUUAAUAUCACAGUUACUUCUUGAGGUAUCGCAUUUAGACUUAAUACAAUGGUACUCAACCAUCCAACCUACUUAAUUAACCAAGUAAGAUAACUCUUCUUUGCAUUUAAUGCAAAUUAUAGGCUUUUAUUAUAUGACUUAGAAAUUCUGGUUAAGGUUUUGCGUGCAAGCACACAUAGGUAAAUAUCUCAUUAAGUACUUGAGAUAUUGCAUUGAGACUUGAUACAAUGGUACUCAACAAUCCAACCUACUGAAUCAUGUUUGCAUUUAAUCCAAAUAAUAGGACUUUAUUAUUCGACUUAGAAAUUCUGGUUAAGGUUUUGCGUGCAAGCACACAUUAUAAAAAUAUCAAAGCAACUACUUCAUGUAUUGCAUUGAGACUCAUACAAUUGUACUCAACCAUCAAACUUCCCCAUGUAAGAUAGCUCUAGUUUCAUUUAAUGCAAAUAAUUGCCCUUUAUUAUUCGACAUAGAAAUUUUGGUUAAGGUUUUGCGUGAAAGCACACAUAGGUAAAUUUCUCAGCAACUACUCGAUGUAUUGCAUUGAGACUUUAUAGAAUGGUAUCCAACUACUCAAUGUAAUUGAAUAACCAAGAUAUAUAACUGUAUUUUGCAAAUAAUUGCCCUUUAUUAUUAGACUUAAACAUUCUGGUUGAAAUUUUCCAUGUAACUACAUUUAUGUUAAUAUCUCACCACAUGAAUUGCAUUGAAAUCUUAUCUAACAGUGAUCCAUGCAUGUUUCGCCAAAACUUUUCAAUCCUUACACUGAAAGCGGCGGUAUAGUCAAGCCCGCUGUCUCUGUGACAGCUCUUGUUCAACAUUAACGUGAUGUUCAUUUCCAUUGUGAACAAUAUUAACAUCUUUCAGCAUACAUGCCUGGAUGAGUUUUAAAAAUUGACCAUAUUAUGCAUACUUACUGCAUGAAAAUAUACAAUGGCAUACAUUUCAUAUCAACUUGUGUAUCUGUAUGUCCCUUUCAACUACUUAGACGAAAUAACAAACGUCCUAACCCUAAAAUGUUCAAAAAUAUUCUACAUACGUUAUUUUUAUCUUACACUGUAUAUAUAUGUUCUAUAUGUAUAUAUCACGCCUAAUAAAAUGAACCCCACCUCUCAAUUUUCCUGUGUGUUCCUAUCAAUUUGUUUCUGAAAUUCCUGUCAUCAUUUAAAUAAAUUGCUUAUCCUCUCGGAGCCACCGUUCCUCAGCGCUUUCAGCGCUUUGAUUUUUUGUAUUAUCAUAUUAUGUUACCUCCAAGAAGAGUCAUUCUACAUGGCCUUGCAGAAUUUUUAACGUUUCUAUAAAUAGACUGCACAUGCCUGUUAAGCGGGUGCAGAUAAACUUUAUGCAGACGAUUGUACCUUACAUGCAUUGAUCAGUUCAUUGAAAAGUCGUGCACGCAUCCGUAUAAACAGGAUAUAUUAUAGGGUCAUGCAAACCACUUUUUGAUAUGAGGGGAGGGUGUAUUUGAUUCGAGUGGAUUUUCGGCAGAUUCUGAUUUAACUAGGGGCAAGCCGAAUUAAAUCUUAGUCUAUAAAAAUUCCAUCUGGAAAAAUCGAACUCAUUAUUCAAGCUUGAAACAAAACUGACACACAAGCAUUAGAGUAAACGGAUACGGUUUUAUUUUAUUUGACACUCCACAUCUAAAAUGUCGUCUGCAUUAUACACUAAAUAAUUGCAUUAGCUAAAUGUCUGCCUAAUUAUAAUCUGCCAAAUAAUCAGUUUACAGACUUGGUUUAUGUGGAUUGGCACACAAAACAUGGGUUAAUAUAAAGUACAAAAUGGUUGUAACACACGAUAGAAAUUUAAUGCGUUACAACAGUAUUCAGCUAAGCCACCGAAAAGGCCAAUAUUUAAAUAUCUACUGAACUAGUUUAUUUCAUUUUGGAUAGACAUAUUAUGUUACCUCCAAGAAGA